rnacentral:rRNA from 2 species
UAUUGAUUGGUGCUUGCAUCAUGAUUUACAUUUGAGUGAGUGGCGAACUGGUGAGUAACACGUGGGAAACCUGCCCAGAAGCGGGGGAUAACACCUGGAAACAGAUGCUAAUACCGCAUAACAACUUGGACCGCAUGGUCCGAGUUUGAAAGAUGGCUUCGGCUAUCACUUUUGGAUGGUCCCGCGGCGUAUUAGCUAGAUGGUGAGGUAACGGCUCACCAUGGCAAUGAUACGUAGCCGACCUGAGAGGGUAAUCGGCCACAUUGGGACUGAGACACGGCCCAAACUCCUACGGGAGGCAGCAGUAGGGAAUCUUCCACAAUGGACGAAAGUCUGAUGGAGCAACGCCGCGUGAGUGAAGAAGGGUUUCGGCUCGUAAAACUCUGUUGUUAAAGAAGAACAUAUCUGAGAGUAACUGUUCAGGUAUUGACGGUAUUUAACCAGAAAGCCACGGCUAACUACGUGCCAGCAGCCGCGGUAAUACGUAGGUGGCAAGCGUUGUCCGGAUUUAUUGGGCGUAAAGCGAGCGCAGGCGGUUUUUUAAGUCUGAUGUGAAAGCCUUCGGCUCAACCGAAGAAGUGCAUCGGAAACUGGGAAACUUGAGUGCAGAAGAGGACAGUGGAACUCCAUGUGUAGCGGUGAAAUGCGUAGAUAUAUGGAAGAACACCAGUGGCGAAGGCGGCUGUCUGGUCUGUAACUGACGCUGAGGCUCGAAAGUAUGGGUAGCAAACAGGAUUAGAUACCCUGGUAGUCCAUACCGUAAACGAUGAAUGCUAAGUGUUGGAGGGUUUCCGCCCUUCAGUGCUGCAGCUAACGCAUUAAGCAUUCCGCCUGGGGAGUACGGCCGCAAGGCUGAAACUCAAAGGAAUUGACGGGGGCCCGCACAAGCGGUGGAGCAUGUGGUUUAAUUCGAAGCUACGCGAAGAACCUUACCAGGUCUUGACAUACUAUGCAAAUCUAAGAGAUUAGACGUUCCCUUCGGGGACAUGGAUACAGGUGGUGCAUGGUUGUCGUCAGCUCGUGUCGUGAGAUGUUGGGUUAAGUCCCGCAACGAGCGCAACCCUUAUUAUCAGUUGCCAGCAUUAAGUUGGGCACUCUGGUGAGACUGCCGGUGACAAACCGGAGGAAGGUGGGGAUGACGUCAAAUCAUCAUGCCCCUUAUGACCUGGGCUACACACGUGCUACAAUGGAUGGUACAACGAGUUGCGAACUCGCGAGAGUAAGCUAAUCUCUUAAAGCCAUUCUCAGUUCGGAUUGUAGGCUGCAACUCGCCUACAUGAAGUCGGAAUCGCUAGUAAUCGCGGAUCAGCAUGCCGCGGUGAAUACGUUCCCGGGCCUUGUACACACCGCCCGUC